CCUACGGGAGGCAGCAGUGGGGAAUAUUGCACAAUGGGGGAAACUCUGAUGCAGCGACGCCGCGUGCGUGAUGAAGUAUUUCGGUAUGUAAAGCUCUAUCAGCAGGGAAGUUAAUGACGGUACCUGACUAAGAAGCUCCGGCUAACUACGUGCCAGCAGCCGCGGUAAUACGUAUGGAGCAAGCGUUAUCCGGAUUUACUGGGUGCAAAGGGAGCGCAGACGGGAGGGCAAGUCUGAUGUGAAAGUCCGGGGCUCAACCCCGGGACUGCAUUGGAAACUGUCCGGCUAGAGUGCAGGAGAGGUAAGUGGAAUUCCUAGUGUAGCGGUGAAAUGCGUAGAUAUUAGGAGGAACACCAGUGGCGAAGGCGGGUUACUGGACUGUAACUGACGUUGAGGCUCGAAAGCGUGGGGAGCAAACAGGAUUAGAUACCCGUGUAGUC
rnacentral:rRNA from 1 species